rnacentral:tRNA from 1 species
UGUUGUUGCUCACUGGUAGAGUGCUUGUCUGACAAGCAGGUAGCUCUGGGUUCAAUCUUCAGAACAGGAA